GCAUGUCUAAGUUCACACCCUCGUACGGUGAAACCGCGAAUGGCUCAUUAAAUCAGUCGAGGUUCCUUAGAUGAUCCAAAUUUACUUGGAUAACUGUGGUAAUUCUAGAGCUAAUACAUSCCAACCAGCUUCGACCCGUCCCGCAAGGGCUGGGAAAGAGCGCUUUUAUUAGUUCAAAACCAGUCGGGUCCUCACAAGGGGCUCGUCCGUUGGUGACUCUGGAUAACUUUUUGCCGAUCGCAUGGCCUCGAGCCGGCGACGCAUCUUUCAAAUGUCUGCCCUAUCAAAUGACGAUGGUACGUGAUCUGCCUA
rnacentral:rRNA from 1 species